UUAAUGUUGAAGAGUGCUUCGAGAAUGCAGAGAAGUUCGAGUUGACCUUGGAUGAGGCUCAUUCGGAGCUUACCGUUAAAUAGAGUUUACAAGUUGGUGGAAGGAAUAUAUAUGGUUUCCCGCACUUUUGCUUCAUCCAUCAAAUAUCAAGAAAGGACUUGAAGUCAAGAAAUAUUCUCAUUUUUCUAUUUCACUGUCAUUUCGG